GAAACUUAGGAUUACCUAAACCGAAG
rnacentral:tRNA from 13 species